rnacentral:rRNA from 1 species
UACGGAGGGGGCUAGCGUUGUUCGGAAUUACUGGGCGUAAAGCGCGCGUAGGCGGAUCUGCAAGUCGGGGGUGAAAUCCCGAGGCUCAACCUCGGAACUGCCUUCGAUACUGCGGGUCUCGAGUCCGGGAGAGGUGAGUGGAAUUCCUAGUGUAGAGGUGAAAUUCGUAGAUAUUCGCAAGAACACCAGUGGCGAAGGCGGCUCACUGGCCCGGAACUGACGCUGAGGUGCGAAAGCGUGGGGAGCAAACAGG